rnacentral:misc_RNA from 1 species
UUUCCGUAGGUGAACCUGCGGAAGGAUCAUUAAUGUAUAAUCGAGGUGCGAGGGCUGUCGCUUACCCGAAAGUUUGUGCACGCACGAGUGCUCUAACAUACAUCCAUCCCACCCCCCUGUGCACCACCGCGAGGCUCCCCCUGUGUUUUGUUCGGCGGAGGGCUUACGUUUUCUCUUAUACUUUAUAUGCAGUGUAGAUUGUUUUUUUUGUUUUUUGGAUCACGCACUCAAUACAACUUUCAACAACGGAUCUCUUUCCUCUCGCAUCGAUGACGAACG